UACACACCGCCCGUCACACCAUGAAAGUUGGUCGUACCAGAAGUCGCUGUGCUAACCGUAAGGAAGCAGGCGCCCAAGGUAUGGUUAAUGAUUGGGGUGAAGUCGUAACAAGGUACCC
rnacentral:rRNA from 1 species